UACGGAGGGUGCAAGCGUUAUCCGGAUUUACUGGGUUUAAAGGGUGCGUAGGUGGACAUUUAAGUCAGCGGUGAAAUCUCCGGGCUUAACUCGGAAAUUGCCAUUGAUACUAUUUGUCUUGAAUUAUCUGGAGGUGAGCGGAAUAUGUCAUGUAGCGGUGAAAUGCUUAGAUAUGACAUAGAACACCAAUUGCGAAGGCAGCUUACUACGGGUGCAUUGACACUGAGGCACGAAAGCGUGGGGAUCAAACAGG
rnacentral:rRNA from 1 species